GUAAUAAAUCUCGCGGUAAGCCGUCGCUUGGAAGCAAUUGGAUCGUCUCCUUGGGCACCAAGUCUUGAAGACGGUGUCUUCUUUCUCUCCAUCUUCUGCCCCUCGGACGCGGAGUCAGAGAGGUAUACUGUGAGUUCUAAGCGGCCAAGAUCUCCCAAACCAAGAGAUAAAACCUUCUUUUGGGUUUAAUCCAAGGCUUGAAAUCUUGUCUUUCGAAACCGGGUCUCUUGGGGUCAUUCUUCUUUAUUUCUUGUUUGGAUUGCUUUGAUUUGGAGAUCGUAGGGCUUUGUGGGAGUUGGAAAUAUGUUGGGAGAUCUCGCCACCAGAGUUCUCGUGAUGUUGUUUGGAUAUGCCUAUCCGGCAUUUGAGUGCUUCAAGACGUUGGAGCAGAGGCAGUCGCCCGGUGAGGUUGAACAGCUCCGGUUCUGGUGCCAAUACUGGGUCAUAGUCGCAAUUGUAACAAUCAUUGAGAGAUUUGGCGACCCUCUCGUUUCAUGGUUGCCAAUGUAUGGAGAAGCCAAGUUAGCUUUCUUUGUCUACUUGUGGUAUCCAAAAACGAAGGGAUCUGAUCUUAUCUAUGAUACCUUCCUUCGGCCACUUGUGAUGCAAUAUGAACCUGACAUUGAACAGAGGUUAAGGCAUUUGAGGGCUAAAUCCGGAGAAUUGCUUGUCUUCUAUUUAAAGAACUUCACAGAUAAAGGAACUACUUUGUUUCUAGAGGUUCUCAACUAUGUGGUCUCUGGGGCAUCAAGCACAAAGGGGAACCUACGGUCAGGAUCGUCCAGCCGCUGGAACCCUCUUGCUGCCCUACGGUCAUUCCGGCAGUCUCCGGCCACAGAAGCAGGCGCCCACGGCAACCGCACCGCCGAGGAGUUGGAAGAAGACGACGUCCCCCGCCUACACCCACGUGCCCCACAUCGCCGAUCCCGACCCCACCAAUAGAAUAUAUAUAUAUAUAUAUAGCAGAAAUAGAAUAGUAGUGGGUGGGGAUUAGCACCUGUUUUUUUUUUUUGCCCCUUGAAAUCUAAACGUUAUCCUCUAGAGAGAAAAAAAAAAAAAUGAAAUCCCAAUGCUUGUCUAUCCUUUCUAUGUACAAAAAAACUUAAUAAAAGAAUAAAAGGAAUAAAAGACAUAAGGAACUCGCGCCGCCGUUGGUGUCGUCACCGUUAACGACGGAUGGAUUGGAAGAAGACUCCGACUAAGUCGAAGCAGGAGCCAGCAAGGCCGCAGGAGAGGCCGGCGAGGAGCCGCCGGAUGGGGCCGCGAUGGCGGCGGCUGCGGGAGGACUCCAACGAGGAGGGGGUAGGCUGUAGGUAGGCAUAGGCAGCCUGCUUCACCAGCCGGUUCCUGAUCUGGAUCUCGCCGGCACCGGUGGCGGCGGAGGCGGAGGGUGAGACGAGGCCACCACCGGCGGAGGAGGAGGUGAGAAUGUCGCGUAGGCUGGUGUAGCCCAUGUCCGCCCUGCUCCACUGCCGCAGGUCGAAGUCUCCGCCGCCGUUGAGGUCGAGCACAGCCGGGAUCGAUAUGGCCGGCCGCCGGAGGGGGCGCUUCGCCUCCAGCCGCGGCGUGGGCAUGACAAGCGUGCGGAAGAAAGCAAGAAAGAUGGAGAGAGAGAAAGAGAGGAGAAGAUGGAGCGAGGCGAGCUUGAGGGGAAAGCAUUUAGAGAAAAUUUAUGAAGGAAGGGGAUUAGGAUUGAAAACGGAAGAAUUUUUAAACUAGACUAGAUUAGGGAAAUAUUCCAAAGAUUUGGAAAAUCUUGUAGCUUGUAGAUGAGGACGAAUCAGGACCGUCGGAUGUAAUUACCAAAUAAGAUGAUGAAAAGAUGCUUCUAUUA